CUCAUUCUUAACUUAAGGAAGGGUUUCCAUUGUGAAACCCUAGCCGCCACUAGGAGACUUCUCUCUCCUCGGUCAUGUAUGCUUGAAAAUGGCAAAGUUUCAGAGUGUGGCAGGUUUUCUCAAUCAUGGUAUGCCGAUUUUGGGCAAAGCAUUAAUUGCUUUGCCCUCUCUCCACCAUAUCGCAACCAAACAGGUUGUGAGGUUGAGGAGCAAAAGGGGUCUCCAAAGGUCUAUUCUCGAUGACGGGCUGCACUUCAAAAAGUUAAUUCCCUUUCCUUUUAGUUAUAUUUCCUAUUAUUUAGUAUUCAUGUUUAAAACUGCCUUCAUGUGAGUUUAUUUUCUACUUUUGUAUGGUUAAUCUUAGUUUCAUUUUGCUUUAGUAUAUUCUGUGAUUAAUUAACUGUUUAAUCAUGUAGCUUAGAUAGAUUAUAUUGUUAGCGUAGAUUAGCUGUUUGCUAAAUUCUAUUUAUAUAAAAUUAGGUAUUUAUGGCUAGUAUUAAUCCUGCUAUAUGCUUUAGUUAGGAGUAAGGGUGCAUAGUAUCUAUUGGUCAUGUCCAAAUUUAGAAUCAGCUUGAUAAUCAUGCCUAAAUGCUUGCUACGCCUGAGAUAAGUUGGUUUCUGUUGAUGUGUCAAAGCGUAUACUUGUUCAAGAUCAGUUAACUUGUAAUAUGUUAAUCCUAUAUAAAAGUAUCUGCCUAGUUUAUGGUUCAUGGAGUCAUGAAUGUUGAUCCUGCCUGUCCUUCAAGCUGUCUAAGUUUCAAUUGGUUUAUGGUUUUCUAAUCAUGUUCAUGCCCUUAACUGAUUAUCAAAUAUUGUUUGGUAUGUGUUUGUCUCAUACAAGCCUGUUGAAUCACGGUUGGUAGUUGAUUGAGUUUGGUUUGUACAUUUAACUAAACCUUGUCUCUAGUUGAGUUUGAUUUUACUUAAAAGAGGCCAUAUACAUCACAAACCCUCAGCCAUUUGACAGCCCUUGCUUGUGUGCUUGCUUAAUUGUGCCGUUCUAUUCUGAGUGUUUAGUGGACAUACUAAUUAUAUUAUGAGAACCAGUAGAAUAUUAUGUCCUUAGAAUUGGGUCUGUCUAAGAGUAAAAAGUGAUAUCCUGUUUACCUGUUUAAAUGCUGAUGUUGAAGCUCUUGUUUGCCUCUACUUAUGGUCUGUCUAUGCUAUUUGUACUUAAAAACUUGGGGUCUUCAAAAAAAAAAAUCUUUUCUUUGAAAUACUUACACCCGGUCUACUCAUAGUCAAGUUUGUUAUACUUGUGUAAAUAAAAUAAGAUUUGUAAAUCAUCAACAAGAGGUGUUCAUUUGAAUAUGAAGGAUCAUAGGUGUGACUUACCUAGGACCAAGAAAAGGGGAUAAGACUUAGAGUUUCUAACCAAACUCGGUCAAUUCUCUCUUUAUUUUGAUUGCUGGGGUUCCCCUAUAUGAAACUAUAUACUAUGAAACCCUCAAAAAUGAAGAAGAGGAUCAGUAUGCUUAGACUAUUCCAAUUGGUAGAAGCAGUUUCUUUUUAUUUACUUUCUUUUGCAAAACCUAAAUUUAUUUAUUUUUUGUUAUCUCAAGAGUGUGGAAAUAUGUGUUUAUGGACUGUGUGCUUGAAAUUUGCUAAGUGGUUAUCUUACUAAGCUUGGUGUCCAUGAAAGUCAAUAUGCCUUUUCCUUUUAUGUAUUGUUGACAUAUGUGUUGUUAUACUAGGUGUAUACCGAAUAUACAUGACUUGACUUGUAUACACCAUAGUGUAGACAAGGAAGUAUAUUUUGUAUACCCUUUGAGUAAAUUCUGAGACUUGACAUUCAUGCUAAGUUUGGGCCAAAUCUGUCCUCACCUUAGACAUUCACUUUGUGGGCCUGCACUACUCUUAACACUGUUUAGUUUCAAUACUCGAUUUAUUUCGGUCUAAACCAUGACUGUUCCUUUUUGGGCUUUGAGUAAAUUAUUUGUUCAACUGGUGGAAUUUGUUAAGGGUAUAUAUAUAUAUAUAUAUUGACUGCGUAUGUAUAUCUGUGUAUCCAUGUUUGCUUCAAUGUUCACUUAGUCUUUAAAUUUCUUCUUAUUCGCAUAAUAUAGUUUAGAUACUUUCUAACCCAUUACCUUCUUUUUUUCCCCCUUUUAUGGCAUGGAAUUAUUUCUUGGGCCGACUACUCGUUGCAUAAAUCUAUUGGGCUUGAGGCCGAACAUCCUUCUCUUGAUCGAGUCCGAUUGUAGAAAAAUAAGGAAAGCUAAUAUUUGCAUUUGAAGGACCAGUUAUGGGUGAAAAUUACACUGAUGGGCUUGGGUAGGCCCAUCAGUUAAAAUUUUACUUUCUUCCCUUCUCUAUUCCAUAUAUACCUAGCAUGUAUAUAUUGUAUAUGUACUAAAUGUGUAAAUAAUGAAACCCUUGUGCAUGCUAGAACUUAGGAGGAACACAUAGUAUUUUUAGGUAGUCGCCAAAGCUUUUUUCAAACUCGGAUAAUGAUCAAUUUUUGCGUGAAAUCGAAACUUGGUUUGAUUUUGGGUUUAAAAUUGGUGUAAUACUAUGGCUAAGUGUAUGAUAAAAAUGGAGUUUUGGUUAAGUCUAAAACUGGAUCAAUGCAAAAAGGAUUUUCAAAUUUUAAGUAACAAGUUUUGGGCUUUAAACCCGAGAUGAAAAAAUGAUAAAACGGUUUGACGGGUUCACCUAAAAUGGAGACGAAGCUAGGAGAAGAGUUUGACUUCAAAAAUUGGCAUUUUUCGUAUACCAAAAGAACAAUUUUCUGGACUUAAAUUGAUUUGUAAAUGAAAAACUUUGGACAAAAACUAGAAUUUUGACUCAUGGAACCUCUUAAAAAAUGAGACUGUUGUUUGGGACUGGAAGCCCAAAACUUAUUGGGCUGAAAAAACAAAGGAAUUUAUUGGACUGGCUUGAGGUCAAGACGGAUUUAGACUUAGAAUAUGGACUGAUUAUAUGAGCUUCAAUGAUAAAAUUAGACUUAAAUAAACACUUGUGCUUUCUUUAUAUAUAUACGUGCAAAAAUCGGAGAUAUACUCCAUAUUUUUCUAUAUAUAUGUAUAAUAAAACCCAUAAGAACUAAACUCAUUUUAUUAAGACUAGAAUAGUAGUGACUCUACUCGGGAGAAAUCCCGGGUGUGUCCUAGUCCGGCAAUAAAGUGAGUUGAACACUUUCGCAGAUUUUUAAACCCAAAACCCCCUUUUUAAAGGGGACUUUUUGCCAAAAAAUUUCUCGAGUUUAUGAUACAAAUGAAUGAAUUUUUUUUUUCCGGAAAACUAAACACUUUUAAGCAAAUAAAUUCAUUUAAUCACACAUUGAAGCCCGUAGGUCAACUGUAUUCUACGGAUCUUUAAUACUAGGGUGCGUAAAACCUUCCCUAGGGGAUCACCAGAACCCUUACCUCGAACUUUGGUACCAAAAGAUUUCUCUCUUGCUUGAAAAAUCUUUUACCCGGUUUUCCUAGUUUUCCUUUAAUAAAUUAGGUGGCGACUCUAAAAAUACUAAAAUCCAAUUAGAGCACCAACAACCUCAUAGUAGCUUUUAUGCCUUAAGUCGCGUAAAAAUGAACCGUAACAUAUAUAACUUACAUGUUACAAUUAUAAAAUCCAUACUGAUCAUUCCUUCAUUCCUCAACAACAUAUCCAUAUGUUACUUCAGUCUCUAGGCUUCUGUUUAUUUAUUAACUAGCCACGAAAUCUGUGACAUUUCCUUUUUAUCAAUCCACUAAGGUCAUGAUACAUCUUUGUUGCCUCCAAAUAGAUCAUCUACCCUUACUACAUUUAACAUAAAGUUGGUUUUGAUAUCUUAGGAAUCCUUCUUGCUAAGAUACACUUUUCCUGAAUCCUCUUUCGAGUUUUGGUUUAAGAGAUAUACCAUCUCUAGGCUACUAUGUCUUUACUCAAGUUUUCCCAACAUAUAUCAUAUUUUCCUAUUGCUAUUCUUCACUACGCCACGCUCACCAGUUGAAGCUCUAUAGUGAUCUUGGCAAGCUUCUCAUAUACUUAUAUCAUCUCUGUGGUAUAUAAUUCCAUAUCCUUCUGUUACCUUCCAGAAUGAAUAAAUCCAUUUCGGUGCUAGGUCUAUCCUUAUUCAUCUUAAUGCAAUGAAGCUAUCUUACACGAACUUACUCCUUAUUUAGGUCCAUCUUAUUCCAUUUACUUACAACGCGACUUUAAUUCCUUUACAUCCUGAGUAUUCUAUGCUGGAAAUUCUCAUAUCAUCUAUAAGCUUUGGCUUCCAGAUAAUCAUACACAUUUAUUCUUUUUCAUCGUAGGCUGCUACUGUCAAGUACUUGCAUGCCUUCAAAUAGUUCAUUUCCAUUUCAAUCCUCUUCUAUUGUUAACUCUGCAUCUUUCCCUCAACAAAGACGUUACUAGAUCCCGACCCGAAUACCUUUGCCUUUAAGGCUUUCCCUGUACAAUACUUUCCUAACCGGUAUGCGAUGUUGGAACUUCGUAUCCAUAUGACUAGCUCGCGGUAGCUAUUUCGCUUAACUUCUUAUCUUAGUCCCUUAUUUACUUCUAGUGUCGUCAUACUCAAUCCUUCUCUGUUUCUCCAGUACUGAACUUCCUAUUACACCCUUAUGUUGAAACUUUAAGUAAUUCCUUCCUUAAAGUGCUAUCUUCCAAUCUUUACCUUAAUAUGCAUAUGACUGACUGGUCAUGUUUAUCGUCAAAUCGUCCUUAUACCUUAUCGGCCUGCUAGCGUAAUAUCCCUUUGAGGUAGUUUCCAAUUGCUUUGUUAUUAUCUUUCCAUCUUCUAACGAGGCAUACCCCAAAUCCUAUACCUGUCGUCUUGUCUUCCCUCCUUAAGAUGUUAACCUGCUACUCUAUAUUUGACAUUCCAUUUAACUCUCCUUUUUAUGGCUAGUAUUUACUCCCAGUAAUUUCUGCGACCAAUCUUAACCAUAACUGUUCGUCUUCUAAGUCUAUCUGGUCAGUUGCAUGCACAUAUAAAGGGUCACAUAUUUUCAUAGAUGUACUGGUCUUGGAUGGCCUAAUAUUUCAUCGAAGAGAUCUUCAAAAAUUUUCCUUACCGUCUUCCAGCAAUCAUCUUUUUUCUAUUACUUGUUCACCCACCCAAUCACUGCAAUGGUAUCUAGCACAAGAGUCUCUUCUCAAAAAUCUGCCCAAAUUGUUAACGUUCCUUCUUUUCUUUGUUACAUCAAUGCUCAUUCUUUUGACAGGUCUCUUUUGGACUACAAGUUCGUCUCAUCAGUGAAAGGCAUAUCUUAUAUCAACUUGCGACUUCAUACUCAUUCAUUUCCCAUCAUACAGUUAAUUCUUCAAGAAUAUCUCUCGCUUCCUUCAUUAACUAUUCGGCCUUGUAUUACUAGCUCAAUAAUCCUGUGAUGGUAAAACUUCUGGAGGGAAAUUUUUAGUACCUUUGUC